CAAUAGCGUAUAUUAAAGUUGUUGCGGUUAAAAAGCUCGUAGUUGGAUUUCUGCUGAGAACGACCGGUCCGCCCUCUGGGUGUGUAUCUGGCUCUUUCUUGGCAUCUUCUUGGUGAACGUUGCUGCACUUGACUGUGUGGAGCGCUACCCAGGACUUUUACUUUGAGGAAAUUAGAGUGUUUCAAGCAGGCAUACGCCUUGAAUACAUUAGCAUGGAAUAAUAAGAUAGGACCUCGGUUCUAUUUUGUUGGUUUCUAGAGCUGAGGUAAUGAUUAAUAGGGAUAGUUGGGGGCAUUCGUAUUUAACUGUCAGAGGUGAAAUUCUUGGAUUUAUGAAAGACGAACUUCUGCGAAAGCAUUUGCCAAGGAUGUUUUCAUUG
rnacentral:rRNA from 1 species